rnacentral:rRNA from 1 species
GAUGAACGCUGGCGGCGUGCCUAAUACAUGCAAGUCGAGCGAACGGACGAGAAGCUUGCUUCUCUGAUGUUAGCGGCGGACGGGUGAGUAACACGUGGAUAACCUACCUAUAAGACUGGGAUAACUUCGGGAAACCGGAGCUAAUACCGGAUAAUAUUUUGAACCGCAUGGUUCAAAAGUGAAAGACGGUCUUGCUGUCACUUAUCGAUGGAUCCGCGCUGCAUUAGCUAGUUGGUAAGGUAACGGCUUACCAAGGCAACGAUGCAUAGCCGACCUGAGAGGGUGAUCGGCCACACUGGAACUGAGACACGGUCCAGACUACUAAGGGAGGCAGCAGUAGGGAAUCUUACGCAAUGGGCGAAAGCCUGACGGAGCAACGCCGCGUGAGUGAUGAAGGUCUUCGGAUCGUAAAACUCUGUUAUUAGGGAAGAACAGAUGUGUAAGUAACUGUGCACAUCUUGACGGUACCUAAUCAGAAAGCCACGGCUAACUACGUG